UAGAGUGAGAGUUGCGACAACUCCAUUGACUCCAAUGGAACGCUUUUUUUACAGCAAUGGCGGCUCGUGGAGCCUCUCAAUAGUUCCCGGAAGUAGCAGCAAACCUAUGCCGCGCCGUAGAGAUGCAGCAGAACAAACCGUUUGCGACGCACUUUUAACAGACCCAGGUCUAGGGGUGCAUCGUGGAGCAGGGCCCUC